AUAAAAAAAAACCUAGACAUAUACGUUUUCGCAGUUUUAAAUUCAUAGCAAGAUUUAUUAAUUCAUUAUAUACCCGUACUCCGUAGGUGUUCCCUGCGAUAAUUUACAAUUAAGUUACAUUAUUUUAUAACCAUGAUUUUGUACUUGACCAAUUUGCUGUGUGACAACACCAUAUUGAGUUUGGUUAUUGUUUGUACGUUUAUUUAUUAUUAUACGACGUCGACGUACGACACAUGGAGGAAAUUAAAUGUACCGUAUGCAAAACCAGUGCCUAUUUUUGGGAAUAUAUUCAAAAUGUUUACGGGCUUAGAGCAUCAAGUGGAUACGUUCGGACGAAUUUAUAAACAAUUUCCCGAUAAUAAAUUUUGCGGGUUUUAUCAAAUGAGUACGCCGUUUUUGAUGAUUCGUGAUCCAGAGCUGAUCAACACGAUGCUCGUCAAAGACUUCUCGUAUUUCACUGACCACGGUAUUGACGUGAACCCUUUGGUAAAUAUAAUGGCGAGAAGCUUGUUUUUUGCGACCGGACAAAAAUGGAAAAUUAUGAGACAAAAACUAAGUCUAGGAUUCACGUCUAGUAAGCUCAAAGGUACACAUGAACAGAUCCAAGAGUGCAGCGAUCAGUUGAUAGACUGUAUUCGUGAAAAAUCCAAGAUAACCGAGGGAAUUGAAAUACAUGAACUUGUCGGAAAUUCAGCCACUGACGUAAUUGGAACGUGUGCAUUUGGUAUGAAAUUGGAUACAAUUUAUAACGAUAAUUCAAGCUUUAGAAAAAAUGUAAAAAAAUUGUUCAAACCUAGUGGUAAAGUUAUUUUUCUUCAAAUACUUGAAGUUCUAUUUCCAAAAAUCAUUAAGUUCUUAAAACUUCAAACUUCUCCGGUAGACAUAGAUGCCAUUAAUUUUUUUCAUUCCGUAUUUGGCGAAGUUAUUGAGUAUAGGACCAAAAAUAAUGUGGUUAGAAAUGAUCUAACACAAACUUUAAUGAAAGCAAGACAGGAUUUGGUAAUAAACAGUGAUUAUAAAGGAGAAGAAAAGUAUUGUGAAUUAGAUAUAAUUGCAAAUGCAAUGUUGUUGUUUUCGGCCGGUUCUGAAACUGUAACUGCUACAGCAUCUUUUUGUUUUUACGAGUUAGCAUUGAACAAAAAUAUUCAAGACAGAUUACGAGCCGAGAUAAUUUCGUCACAAAUAAAAUAUGGUAAACAGUUUAACAAUGAAUUUUUGGAAGAUCUUCACUACGCCGAUAUGGUUUUAGAUGAAACUCAUCGUAAGUACACCAUAAUUACGGCUCUAUUGAGAGGAGCUACACAAAAUUAUAAAGUACCUGGGGAGUCAUUAAUAAUUGAAAAAGGACAAAAAAUUUUAAUACCAAUACAUAGUAUACAUCAUGACCCAAAGUAUUAUCCAAAUCCCCAUAUUUUCAAUCCGGAAAGAUUUACUGCGGAAGAAAAAUCUAAACGACCGAGUGGAACAUUUUUACCGUUUGGUGAUGGACUUCGCCAUUGCAUAGGAAAACGUUUUGCUGAAUUGGAAUUGAAAAUAAUUCUUUCAAAAAUAUUGUCGAAAUUUGAAAUUACACCCUGUGAAAAAACGGAAAUACCACUAAAAAUGAAAAAAGAACGAGGGAUAAUUUCACCGAAAAAUGGAAUUUGGUUAAGUUUUAGGCCGAUUGUGAAUUAAUAUGUUUAGCAGCGCGACGUUAUUUGCCAUAAAAAUAUGGUUGAUUAUUGUCGUACAAACAUGUGUCAAUCGUUAAAUUCAAGUUAAUUUACCAAACGACGGUGAUGGAGACAUAUGUUUUGCAGAAGAACCGUAAUCUGUUUUCAGCUGUAUGA